CUACGGGAGGCAGCAGUGGGGAAUAUUGGACAAUGGGGGGAACCCUGAUCCAGCCAUGCCGCGUGUGUGAAGAAGGCCUUUUGGUUGUAAAGCACUUUAAGCAGUGAAGAAGACUCUUCGGUUAAUACCCGGGGACGAUGACAUUAGCUGCAGAAUAAGCACCGGCUAACUCUGUGCCAGCAGCCGCGGUAAUACAGAGGGUGCAAGCGUUAAUCGGAAUUACUGGGCGUAAAGCGAGCGUAGGUGGCUUGAUAAGUCAGAUGUGAAAUCCCCGGGCUUACCUGGGAACUGCAUCUGAAACUGUUAGGCUAGAGUAGGUGAGAGGGAAGUAGAAUUUCAGGUGUAGCGGUGAAAUGCGUAGAGAUCUGAAGGAAUACCGAUGGCGAAGGCAGCUUCCCGGCAUCAUACUGACACUGAGGCUCGAAAGCGUGGGUAGCAAACAGGAUUAGAUACCCCCGUAGUC
rnacentral:rRNA from 1 species